CCCUGGGUGGCUCAAUCGGUUGAGCUUCUGACUUCAGCUCAGGUCAUGACCUCGCGGUUCGUGGGUUCGAGCCCCACGUCGGGCU
rnacentral:tRNA from 1 species